rnacentral:tRNA from 1 species
GUCUUCGUGGUGUAACGGUAGCAUAUUCGGCUCGUAUUCGAGAAGUUCAGGUUCGAGUCCUGGAGAGGGAA